AUGCUUAGUAAAUCAAAGGUACCAUGGAGUGAUCACGGAGGUGGUUUCCCCAGGGCGAGGCUCACCCAUUGCACUUAGGAUGUGCUGACCUCUGCGAUUUCCCCAAAUGUGGGAAACUCGACUGCGUAAUUUGUGGUAGUGAGGGACUGGGUUCGCGCUCACCCGUG